GGGAGUUCUUCAUGUCUUUCUUGAAGUCCUCCAGCAUCAUGAUCAAAUAUGAUUUUGAAACUAGAUCUUGCUUUUCUGGUGUGUUUGGAUAUUCCAUGUUUGUUUUGAUGAGAGAAUUGGGCUCCGAUGGUGCCAUGUAGUUUUGCUUUCUGUUGCUUGGGUUCGUGAGCUUGCCUCUCGCCAUCAGAUUAUCUCUAGUGUUACUUUGUUCUGCUAUUUCUGACAGUGGCUAGACUGUCCUAUAAGCCUGUGUGUCAGGAGUGUUGUAGACCUGUUUUCCUGUUUUCUUUCAGCCUGUUAUGGGGACAGAGUGUUCUGCUUUCGGGCGUGUAGUUUUUCCUCUCUACAGGUCUUCAACUGUUCCUGUGGGCCUGUGUCUUGAAUUCACCAGGCAGGUCACUUGCACCAGAAAAGUUGGUCUUACCUGUGGUCCCAAGGCUCAAGUUUGCUCUCGGGGUGCUGCCCACGAGCUCUCUGCGUCGGCUGCAACCAGGAAGAUCUGCGCUGCCGUUUCCGGGAGCUUCAGUGCACCAGGGUUCCAGAUGGCGUUUGGUGUUUUCCUCUGGAAUCAGUAAUGUGUGCAGAGUGCAGUCUCUUCUGGUUUCCCAGGCGUGUCUGCCUCUCUGAAGGUUUAGCUCUCCCUCCCACGGGAUUUGGGUGCAGAGAACUGUUCAUCCGGUCUGUUCCUUCAG
rnacentral:lncRNA from 1 species